CCUACGGGAGGCAGCAGUGGGGAAUAUUGCACAAUGGGCGCAAGCCUGAUGCAGCGACGCCGCGUGGGGGAUGACGGCCUUCGGGUUGUAAACUCCUUUCGGUAGGGACGAAGCCUUAUGGUGACGGUACCUGGAGAAGAAGCACCGGCUAACUACGUGCCAGCAGCCGCGGUAAUACGUAGGGUGCGAGCGUUGUCCGGAAUUACUGGGCGUAAAGAGCUCGUAGGUGGUUUGUCGCGUCGUCUGUGAAAUCCCGGGGCUUAACUUCGGGCGUGCAGGCGAUACGGGCAUAACUUGAGUGCUGUAGGGGAGACUGGAAUUCCUGGUGUAGCGGUGAAAUGCGCAGAUAUCAGGAGGAACACCAAUGGCGAAGGCAGGUCUCUGGGCAGUAACUGACGCUGAGGAGCGAAAGCAUGGGUAGCGAACAGGAUUAGAUACCCUGGUAGUCCAUGCCGUAAACGGUGGGCGCUAGGUGUAGGGGUCUUCCACGACUUCUGUGCCGCAGCUAACGCAUUAAGCG
rnacentral:rRNA from 1 species